UAUGUGUAAGUAACUGUGCACGUCUUGACGGUACCUAAUCAGAAAGCCACGGCUAACUACGUGCCAGCAGCCGCGGUAAUACGUAGGUGGCAAGCGUUAUCCGGAAUUAUUGGGCGUAAAGCGCGCGUAGGCGGUUUUUUAAGUCUGAUGUGAAAGCCCACGGCUCAACCGUGGAGGGUCAUUGGAAACUGGAAAACUUGAGUGCAGAAGAGGAAAGUGGAAUUCCAUGUGUAGCGGUGAAAUGCGCAAAGAUAUGGAGGAACACCAGUGGCGAAGGCGACUUUCUGGUCUGUAACUGACGCUGAUGUGCGAAAGCGUGGGGAUCAAACAGGAUUAGAUACCCUGGUAGUCCACGCCGUAAACGAUGAGUGCUAAGUGUUGGGGGGUUUCCGCCCCUUAGUGCUGCAGCUAACGCAUUAAGCACUCCGCCUGGGGAGUACGACCGCAAGGUUGAAACUCAAAGGAAUUGACGGA
rnacentral:rRNA from 1 species